rnacentral:rRNA from 1 species
UGGCAAUACGGGGUCUAUAAUGCAGUCGAACGCACAGCGAAAGGUGCUUGCACCUUUCAAGUGAGUGGCGAACGGGUGAGUAACACGUGGACAACCUGCCUCAAGGCUGGGGAUAACAUUUGGAAACAGAUGCUAAUACCGAAUAAAACUUAGUGUCGCAUGACACAAAGUUAAAAGGCGCUUCGGCGUCACCUAGAGAUGGAUCCGCGGUGCAUUAGUUAGUUGGUGGGGUAAAGGCCUACCAAGACAAUGAUGCAUAGCCGAGUUGAGAGACUGAUCGGCCACAUUGGGACUGAGACACGGCCCAAACUCCUACGGGAGGCUGCAGUAGGGAAUCUUCCACAAUGGGCGAAAGCCUGAUGGAGCAACGCCGCGUGUGUGAUGAAGGCUUUCGGGUCGUAAAGCACUGUUGUAUGGGAAGAACAGCUAGAAUAGGAAAUGAUUUUAGUUUGACGGUACCAUACCAGAAAGGGACGGCUAAAUACGUGCCAGCAGCCGCGGUAAUACGUAUGUCCCGAGCGUUAUCCGGAUUUAUUGGGCGUAAAGCGAGCGCAGACGGUUUAUUAAGUCUGAUGUGAAAGCCCGGAGCUCAACUCCGGAAUGGCAUUGGAAACUGGUUAACUUGAGUGCAGUAGAGGUAAGUGGAACUCCAUGUGUAGCGGUGGAAUGCGUACAUAUAUGGAAGAACACCAGUGGCGAAGGCGGCUUACUGGACUGCAACUGACGUUGAGGCUCGAAAGUGUGGGUAGCAAACAUGAUUAGAUACCGGGGUAAAUACAAAAGAAAGGGGUUAUAUUAAAAACAAUA